AUGGCGUGGCCAUACUUGCUAUGGACGUUCUUGGUUUCCACCUCUCUUGGAGCCAGCACGGCCCAGACGGUCACUCAGCCUCAGCAGGAAAAGUUCGUGCAGGAAGCAGAGUCGGCAACCCUGGACUGCACGUACGACACAAAUGAUACUAGUAAUUAUAACUUGUUCUGGUACAGACAGCAAAGAGGGCGGAUGACUCUCGUUAUUCGCCAGGAAGCUUAUAGGCUGCAGAAUGCAAAGGAGGACCGUUUCUCCGUGAACUUCCAGAGAGCAGCAAAGUCUUUCAGCCUGGAGAUCACAGACUUGCACAUGGAAGAUGCUGCGAUGUAUUUCUGCGCGCUCAUGGAGAGAGUUGGUGGCUGUGCGACAGACAAGCUCGUCUUUGGACAAGGAACCCAAGUGAUUGUGGAACCAAAAACUCAGCCUCUUACCAAACCAUCUGUUUUCAUCAUGAAAAAUGGAACGAAUGUUGCCUGUCUGGUGAAGGACUUCUAUCCCAAGGACGUGAAUAUAAGUCUCAAGUCAUCCAAGAAGAUAGCGGAAUUUGACCCUGCUAUAGUCAUCUCCCCCAGCGGGAAGUACAGUGCUGUCAAGCUUGGUCGGUAUGGAGAUUCGAAUUCAGUGACAUGUUCGGUUCAGCACAACAGUGGAACUGUGCACUCGACAGACUUUGAACCACAUGAAAAUUCUCCUGAUGACAUAAAACUACCAGAACAGGAAAGUGCCACACAAACUUCAGAGACUUGCCAUGGCUCAAAAGUUCACAGCAAGAAUGUAAACAUGAUGUCCCUCGUAGUGCUGGGGCUACGGAUGCUGUUUGUCAAGAGUGUCGCCAUCAACUUUCUCUUUACUGCCAAGGUACUCUUCUUUUAAGGCUGGCUGGCAUGAGGAGACUAUGAUUCCUAAAAGAAACCAAAAGCUUACAAAGAUGCUAUACCCAAGGCUUCCAGCUCCUUAGUGCUUCGAACUGACCCGUCACCACUGCAUCUAAAGGGCUGCUAGGAAAACCAGCUUUUCUGUGACAGCAGCAAGCCUAGCUAAU